AGUGAACGCUGGCGGUAGGCCUAACACAUGCAAGUCGAACGGCAGCACAGUAAGAGCUUGCUCUUACGGGUGGCGAGUGGCGGACGGGUGAGGAAUACAUCGGAAUCUACUUUUUCGUGGGGGAUAACGUAGGGAAACUUACUCUAAUACCGCAUACGACCUACGGGGGAAAGCAGGGGAUCUUCGGACCUUGCGCGAAUGAAUGAGCCGAUGUCGGAUUAGCUAGUUGGCGGGGUAAAGGCCCACCAAGGCGACGAUCGGUAGCUGGUCUGAGAGGAUGGUCGGCCGCACUGGAACUGAGACACGGUCCAGACUCCUACGGGAGGCAGCAGUGGGGAAUGUUGGACAAUGGGCGCGAGCCUGAUCCAGCCAGACCGAGUGGGUGAAGAAGGCCUUCGGGUUGUAAAGCCCUUUUGUUGGGAAAGAAAAGCAGCAGGUUAAUACCCCGCUGUUCUGACGGUACCCAAAGAAUAAGCACCGGCUAACUUCGUG
rnacentral:rRNA from 1 species